GCAGUGACUGUUCAGUGGUAGAAUUCUCAUCUUCCAAGCAGGAGACCAGGGUUCGAUACCCAGUCAAUGCA
rnacentral:tRNA from 1 species